rnacentral:rRNA from 1 species
UACGGGGGGAGCAAACGUUGUUCGGAAUCACUGGGCGUAAAGGGCGUGUAGGCGGCUGGAUAAGUGGGAUGUUAAAUCCCCCGGCUCAACCGGGGACCUGCAUCUCAUACUGUUCAGCUCGAGCACAUCAGAGGAGACUGGAAUUCCCGGUGUAGCGGUGAAAUGCGUAGAUAUCGGGAGGAACAUCAGUGGCGAAGGCGGCUAUCUGGACCAACACUGACACUGAGGCACGAAAGCGUGGGUAGCAAACAGG